rnacentral:lncRNA from 10 species
GAUGAGGACAGGCAUUUUUGUUUUCCUGCCCAAAUGUUGCAUUUCCCAAGACCAGCCUGGCUUGCCACGCCCCCAUUUUGUGCCUAUAAACACCCUGAGAACCUAGCAGGCAGGCACAUAAGCAGCUGGACAUUGAGAGGGGCACAUCGGCAGAGGAACACACCAACAGGCACUAGCAUGCUGCAGGCCACUAACCAGCAGAAUGACGCGGAAUUUGGAGUUUAGCAGGGGCAGCCGGACUCCAGGGGAAAACCAUUCUCCCUUGUGGCUCCCCCAUCUGCUGAGAGCUACCUCCACUCAAUAAAACCCUGCACUCAUUCUCUAAGCCCACGUGUGAUCCGAUUCUUCCCAUACGCCAAGGCAAUAACCCCAGGAUACAGAAAACCCCCUGUCCUUGCAAUAAGGUAUCAGACUGUAUCAAGAGCAAAAUGUAUAACUUUAUGUCUAUGAAAAGUUCACGACUAAGCAGGCUUCUUUCCCAGAUAUAUGACUGCUCCACUCUGAACUGAUUACUCUCUAAGGCUCCGAAGAGCUUUCAUCACGGGAUCCACAUUCCUCACCACCUUGUGUAUCCCCUUCACGUUCCCCCUGUCUUGGAGCCUUACUUCCUGGAUCCUGGACCUCCCUCUUUCCAUGCUUUUACUUUUUUAUUUUGGUAGGGCACAUACUUCAGGGACUUCCUAAGAAAGAGCAUUAGAAAUGUACAUUUUUGAAACUGUAUAUGAUGAAAAAUGUGUUUAUUUUACCUUUACACAUGAUGGACCGUUUGUCUUGGUUUCAAAUUGUAGAUUGAAAGAGGUUUGGUUUUUUUUUUUUUUUUUUUUUUUUGCCCCAUAAUUUUGAAGCCCUUGUGGUUCUGUCUUCAAUGACCCCUGCUGAAUGUUAGGGGCCACUCUGACUCCCAAUUUUUUGUAUAGAGCCUGUCUGUUUUCUUCUGUCUGGAGUCUAGGAUCUUCAUUUUUACCCCUGAUGUUCUGAAAUGUUAUGGUGCUAUACAUUAGUAUGGGUGUUUUUUGAAAAAUUCAGCAUAUUGGAAACACAAUAGGCCUUUUCAAACUUGAAAAUCAUUUUCCUAAAGUCCGGGAAAUUUUCUUUUGCUAUUUCUUUGAUAGUUUCCUUGCUAUAUAUACUUUUCCUUUUUCUAAAAAAUUCAGUUGCUCAGAGUAGGACCUCCUGGUCUAAGUCUCUACUUUUGUAUUUUCUCUUUUGUUUUUCAUUUUGUAAUUUUUUUUUCUACUUUCUGGGUAGCUUCCUCUUCUUUAUAUUCAAAAAACAUUUUGAGUUUCUUAUUUCUUCUAUCAGUUCCAUUUUUCAGGAGUACAUUUUUAGAACCUAAAGCUUCCUUUUCUUUUAGUGUCUAUACUUAUUUUCUGAUUACAGUAUAUUCUCUGAUCUUUCUGAGAAUAUCCAUGAUAAUAUUUUUAAGUUUUCUUCUCCCUUCAUUGUCUCUUUAUGACAAUUUCCUUGUUUUCGCUAGGUUUGUUUUGGCUUCUGAAUUGCUUUAAAUAUCAGGUGAUUACUGGUUAUUACUCAUAUUGAAGAUGAAGCCCUAAAAAGGUGGCAAGAAAGUCAGUGUCCAUGGGUGGGGCUUGUGAACAAGUGGGCUUCACUGCACAGAAGUCCUGCUGGCAGACCCCAGCCAUCAGUGUCUAUCGGUCUUUUGCAUAGAUCAGUCAGGUUCUCCAAGGAAGUAUCUUCCCAUUCCAUGUUUAGAGAAUGUAAAGCUGACUGCCAAAACUUUGGCAAUAAGUGGAAGAAGUCAGCCAGGGUUGUCUUACUGUUUACUAAGCAUUUCAUUUCAUCUUUCACCCUCUGUCUGUACCUUGGUAUCCCCAACCGAGUUCUCUAGUUCACAUUCUCCACAGAAUAAACUACUGGUUUUACUGGAGUGUGAGGAGGCAUCUGGGAUCCAAGUUCACUUUAAACACAUGACUAAUAAAUCCUACUAUUCUUAGCCUCACUCUCACUGUUGAGUCAGUUGGAGGUUCUGAAAUGAAAAUAAGGUUGCUUCUCAAUGUCUCUCAAUAGUAGCUUAGGUUUCAGCAUGUAAGGACUUCUAGGUUAAUCACAAUUAUCCACAGGCUUUAUAGAGUCCCUUUGUCUCACUGGCUUUCUGCAUUUAAAAAUCCCUUUACUGUUAUUUUAUUUGGAGGAAGUGAAAUAAAUGCAUAUACCACCAUGGAAUACUAUGCAGCCAUAAAAAGGAAUGAAAACAUGUCCUUUGCAGGGACGUGGAUGAAGCUGGAAGCCAUCAUCCUCAGGAAACUAACACAGGAACAGAAAACCAAACACUGCAUAUUCUCACUCAUAACUGAGAGCUGAACAAUGAGAACACAUGGACACAGGGAGGGGAAAAAAUACACACCAAGGCCUGUCAGAUGGAGGUGGGGCAAGAGGAGGGAGAGCAUCAGGACAAAUAGCUAAUGCAUGCGGGUCUUAACACCUAGGUGAUGGGUUGACAGGGGCAGCAAACCACAAUGGAACACGUAUACCUAUGUAACAAACCUGCACAUUGAGCACAUGUAUCCCAG